rnacentral:lncRNA from 1 species
UUGAACCUUUGAGAUUAUUGUUUGAAAUAUUGAUGCUGUUGCAUUCUUGUGAUGAUAGUUUAGCCCAAAACCACUCUGGAACAUUAUCUGAAAUUCCAGCCUUCGAAAUAUCAAGAUCCAGCAGGUACUUUUGUGUCUGAAUCCAUUUAGGAAAUGUAAGACCAAGUUUGCUUGAUCUCAAUCCUAUACUGUUCAGUUGAAAAGGUGGGACCCAAUUUUCAGUAAAUCUCAAUGCUAGUGAAUUGUCUGACAAGUCUAAUUCCUUUAACAUUGACAUACCAGAAAAAUGAAAUUCAGAGAUCACACCAUUCAUAGAGUUUGAACUCAUUUGUAGUGUCCUUAGUUUGGUUGGAAAUCGAAUAUCUUCAGAUAUCUUCCCGUUUAGGCUAUUUUCAGAAAUAUCGAAUAUUUCCAAAAAUGAGAAUAUUGAGAGAUCAGGUAGUGUGCCAUUGAUUUUAUUACUGCUUAGAUCUAAUUCUUGGAGUGAGUAUCUAGCACAUCUAGAUAAGUGAUGGAUUAUUACUUGAAGCUCACCACUGAAACUGUUAUUGGACAUUUUCAAUGAUUUCAACUUACAUGCAUUCAUCCAAAAUGAUUUAGGAAUUACCCCUUCUAAAGUGUUUGAUGUGAUGGAUAAAUGUUCCAACUGAUAUGGCAGGCUACUACCCCCAGGGAUCUCUCCACUUAGUUGAUUGGAAGAAAGAUCCAAUGUUUUCAAUGAUGUGAAUGCAGAAAGGUCAGGUAGUGUUCCAAUGAUUCCAUUAGAACUGAGGUCUAACACUUGAAGUGAGUUUCUAACACAACCGCUAGACAAAUUGCGAAGAAUUGUUUGAAGGUCUUCUGUGAAAUUGUUUUGAAUCAGAUUUAAAGAACGUAAGGUGCAUACAUUCAUGAAGGAUUUAAAUGCCACACCCUUCAAUUUAUUGUAUGAUAGGUCAAUCUCCUGAAGCGAGUUCAUCACUGUGCCAUA